rnacentral:lncRNA from 1 species
CUUUUGGGAUCUGCAUUACAUUAACGUCAUUUUUGGGUUCCUGACGUUAAUCAAAACCAACACCAUAAAGCGUCACUUAGCUAAUUUGUGUAUUAUUGUCAAUGUUACCAUUAAUUAUGCGUUUGUGAGGAAAAAGAGGAUUAAUGAGAUGUCACAGGUAAUUUACAAUGAUCAGGCUCCCCAGGACAUUAAGAAAACACUAGCUGGGUAAGAUUACCGUGCAAUCAUAAUAGUAUGCAAGAGGCAAAAGUCUUUGUUGAGGCACCACACUAAUAUUGUCCAUCAUCAUCCAAAUCUGUUUUCACUAGAGUAAUUCCUAACUUUUACAUCUCUUGUUCAAAUUAAAUAUUUGUCUUGUCCUAAAACAUUAGGCCAAAUGUAUUAAUUGUGAGACAUUUGUUGAUGUGUCUCUCCAAGUUCUGAGGAUAAGCUAUUGUUUCUCUUGAAAGGUAGGCAGAGUCACACAGGACUAAUUCUUUACCGUGCUCCGUGAACUUGGGUUCACAUUUAAUAUCCCUAUGACAACAGUUUAGGUAAUUUACGUGGUUGUCUUUAAAUCAGUCUGAUAAAAAGAUCUCUUAUAUCACUGUUUUCUCCAGCCUCGCCUGCACUCACAACCGUGUAAAUAAAGGGCUUUUGCUUUCUCUCAUCCCAUUUCUGGAAUUCACUCAGUAAAGAGAGACAGAAUAACCUAAUGUAAGUAUUGUAUCAGCACAACGCACAGCGGGGUAGAGGCUCUGAAGUACAGUUCUGUACUGUGGUCUAGAUGGCCAUCUGGAAACAGGAGUGCUGGGUCUCGGCUUCCCUCUAUUGCCCACUUGCUGUGCCAUAUGGUGAAUUGGGAUCUGCUCAGAGAACAAUCUGGAGCCCCCAAGGGCAAAUCAGAGAGUGGUUGGUUCAGUCUGUGAUUGGAGAAUCAAGCUUGAUACAAGUGCUCACUCAGAACCCGAGAACCUAGUGGCAGAGGUUCUGAGAGUCAAGAAAGGAGCUAGAGCUAGGGACAAGGAAGUACUUUGAAAGAAUCGGGAGACAAGAGCAUGAGAAUUAUUGAGAAAGAAUUAUUGGGAAAUAAAUCUGUGACAUUUAUUUAUUUAACAGAUAUUUGUUCAUCUCUCAUCACGCACUAGGUAUCAUGACAAGGAUAGGGACGCAAUGGGGAGCAAAACCAAACAUGAUCCCAUGCAGUUGAGAGCUCCGGGCCUCGGUAACUCUAUCAGCUUGGCUUCUGAAAUGAUCACCGUGCUGCAGGAUGGAAAAUGGAUUGGAGGAGAGUGAGAGUGAAUUAUGGAACGGUGUGUAGAAGGAGUCAAUUUAGGGAGAGCAUUUACUAUUUUAAUGUGAAUUUUCGUUAACUCAUAUUAGUUUUUCUUGGUCUUAUUUUUAUUUAUGUGAGGAAUUAUAUGAUAAAAUUUCAGAAUUAUAUAUUUACUUUCACACAGAUUUAUACAAUCCAGGUUUAAAUCUCAGCUCUGGGAAACCUUGAACAAAUUAUUUAACCUAUAAGUGUCAGUAUCUUUAUCUGUGAAAUGGAGAUAAUAAAACUUACCCAAUAUAGUCAUAAAAAUUAAAUGAGAUAAUGAAUGUAAAUUACUUAACACAGGGCUCACCACACAAUAAGGGUUUAAUAAGGUGGUGGUUUUAAGCCUUAAAUUUUUUUCAGGAACACCUGUGGAACUUCAAAAAAUACAGCUGCCUGAGCCAUACUCCAAACCUAUUCAAUCUGAAUACCUGGGUCUGAUCUCAUUGUGUACCCUAGAUGAAAAUCACUGCAAUAAAAAUUAAAUAUUUAUAAUUUAUUAUUAGCAAUUUUAUUAACAUUAAUAUCGCAGUGAAACAUCUAAAAAAUUUUAUCUGAUGCCAUAGUAUAGAGGAUAUGUGGGAUCACGAAUUUUAUCAGGUCCUUAUAUGUGUGACUAUAAUGUUUGGGGCCAUAUGAUUUUAAUUGUAGCAUAUAAAGAUCUAUGAAAUAAUGUUAUAUUGCAAUUACUGCUUAUUUUUGUGUGUCUAUGUGUGUGCAUGAUGGAUCUAUUUCCCUGGGGUGAGUGCAGAAGUUUGAGAUGGCUGGCGUUAUAGGAAAGCUAUUUUUAAGAAAAAUUGUCUAUGUACUAGGAUAAGGUCAAACCACAAGUGAGCUGAACUUCACCAUCUAUUAACAAACGAAAAUAAAACAUUUAUUACAUUGUCCAUUCUUGCUUUUUUAUAUUUACGGUAUAUUCCAAGGAGAUUUCCCUGUUGGGAUAAAAUUUCACAAACAGAGAGGGGAAAGGAGGGGGAAGUUUAAAUAAAAAUCUUUUAUUAUUGAUUUGGCAUUGUUGGGGCUAACCACAUAGAUUGUGAAAAUAAUAUAGUUUAUUUCUUUUUUU